CCACACAGCUGCAGGGCCCAGCUCUGCCAAAAUGGCGGUGUAUGGUAGUGGGUAAUAAGGGAAACUGAUUUCUGGUCUCUCUUCUCCAUUUUCGAGGAUCCAAAUGAAUUCUAGUUGGCAAGAAGGAGAGAGGAAGAGAGCUGACACAUCACUGUCUUACUGCUGGGAGCAGCAAGUUAUGAGCUCCUGCCUGUGGUGUGUCACAUGGACUUUGAGACCCUGUGACCCUCCCAACUCCUGCCUGCACACCCAGCACAGAUCAUCAGAGAAAGCCCUGAGAAUAUCACUCCACUUGAAGGAAUUUGAAUUUGAGCAAAAACCUUCCACCUGGAGUCAAGGAAAACUGGUUUUGAGGCGGGCUUGGUUCUAUCGUGGAAGGGAGAGAUAUCUUGAACUGCAUGGUGAAAUUUCACCCAGGGUGCAGCCCUGACAGAGGGAGUGGAGAGUUCUGGAGGAGGACUGAAUUUACUACCAUCAAAGGGUGACUGGGGCUAACAGGUAAUGAGAAAUAAUCUGCCUGCUGUGGAUGGAACGAUCAAGGGAAGACAAUGGUUUGGUUGCAAAUUAAAAGGGUAACCGUUUGAAAUGCAAAUUCGAACUACACCGAGAUGCCAUUUCUCAACUAUGAGAUUAGUAAACAUCGAAA